rnacentral:lncRNA from 1 species
GAAGCGAGUGAAUGAGUGGGUGAUAGAAUUCAACUCCAAAGUACAAAAGCUAGUUGCAUCUCUCAACAGGCGCCUCCCAAAAGCAAAACUCGCAUUUGCAGAUACAUAUGGAGAUGUUUUCGACUUGAUCAACAACCCUGCUGCAUAUGGUAAAUUAAACUGAAAUAUUCAAUGGUAGAUUAAUUACAGAAAAAAUUAAUUUACAACAAACACAAAUUGAUCCAUUGUCUUUCAGGUUUCAAGGUCUCUAAUACAUCGUGUUGCAAUGUGGACACAUCACUCGGAGGGCUAUGCUUGCCUAAUUCAAAAAUGUGUACAAACCGGAAUGACUAUGUAUUCUGGGAUGCAUUCCACCCUUCGGAUGCAGCAAACGCAGUUCUUGCUGAGAAACUCUUCUCGAGACUAUUUCCUCAGCCACCUUCCCUUGCACCGGCACCUUCACACUGAUUAGCAUCCGUCAUGCUAAAGCAUAUAUUGCUAGUAGUAUAGACCUCAGUAAGGCAAUAAUGUACCAAGGGAUUCACACUAACUCAGAGUUUCUAAAUCGGCACACUAAUGCAAAAAGGCAUCUGUUUGCCCAAAAUCAUGUCCACCCUGUUCAUGUUGGUUAUACAAUUAUGGUUCUUUAUAGGUCCAAAUUAACAAUGCUGAAUAUCUUAUUCUAAAUCUCUUCUCGGUGGGAAAAAAAAAGUAAUUUAUUUACAGAAAACAAUUAGUAUAAACUUUCUUUAACAGAGGGAAAAGACACAAUACAAAUAACUAUACCAAAUAUCAUACGGCAAUCGCAACGAAUUCUGGUAAUGAACUGAAACUCGAAAUCACAAAUCACAUUUGUUUUAAACUGAGAAUUUGGGAUCAGACUGACGUGCAAAACAUAACUCAGCAUAGCAGAAGCCUAUGAGACAGUUUAAUCAUCAUUCCCCAAAAUCCAUGCCAAACAUAAAAUCCAAAGUACAUUAUGAGACAAUUGAAUAACUCAUCCAAAUGUAAAACAAUUUAAAACCUUCAUGAUAAAAUUCAGGGCAAAAAACCCAAAAGAAAAAUCCCAACAACAAAAAUUAGCAUAGAAAUGGUGAUUGGUUGCUCUCAGUCAAGGGCCAAAGUUUUCCACAUAAGAGAACAUAAAAAGAGUUGGGUAUAACCAUCUCAAGAUUUAAGCCAAGAGAAUAACAGAAGGGCUUCAAAUGCUUGGCAAAGCCUUCUUCUCUUCCCUAAAAGAAAGAGUCAGAUAAAAAAAAUAUAUCAACCACCACUCUUAGACAAAAGAGUCAUUAGGCAAUACCAAGCACAGGAAGCACCGCCAUUGAUCUACCUGACUUAAUUCAGAAGAGGGCAAAUCCAACCCUUCAAUUCUCAGUUCGGUGUGGUUAAAGCAAAGGAAAUCAUCAUCGAGCAAAAAAGUGGUAGGUGGGUGUUUGGGAGAUGAGAAAAUUGUGGCACUUACGAGAAAAGGUCAGAACCCAAUAGAGUAUGAGAGCCUGCCAGUCCAGAAGAACCAAUCCUUUCGGAUUUGAUUUCGCAUCGCUUCGUAGUCUCUAGGCUACAAAGAAGAGCAGAGAGGUUCAUAGUAGAUGCCUUCUGCAAAUCCUAAAAAUCAAAUAUAAACAAUACGACUCUUUAGAUUUUAUAAAAUGAAACUUUUGAAAAAGAAGAUUUGCAAAGAGAUGAAAGACGUUGAGCAGCUGCAGAGUUGUUUGUGGUUGAUUUUAUAUAGAAGCAGAAAUUAGGGUUUGUGGGUGCAUUUCUUCAAUUGUCCGCGAUGUUCAUUAGAAUUACAAAAUCAC